GACAGAGGCCUCGAGCGUUAGGCGGAAUCACUGGGCUUAAAGCGUGUGUAGGCGGGCCCGUAAGUGUCUUGUGAAAUCCCACGGCUCAACCGUGGAAUUGCUGGGCAUACUGCGGGUCUUGGGCCAACUAGGGGCAGCCGGAACAAGCGGUGGAGCGGUGAAAUGCGUAGAUAUCGCUUGGAACGCCGAAGGUGAAAACAGGCUGCUGGGGUUGCGCCGACGCUGAGACACGAAAGCCAGGGGAGCAAACGGG
rnacentral:rRNA from 1 species